AUGGCGCAGUCGGCUGUGAACACCGUGCUCGGGAGCGUGGGCAAUCUUGCAGUCCAGGAGACCACAUUCUUGUGUGCAGUCAACCUUGAAGUGGGGCUGUUGAAAGAUGAGCUGAUGAGGUUGCAGGCCUACCUCAAAGAUGUUGAUAGCAAGUGGAGAUCAGGAAAUGCAAGGGUUGCAGUCUUGGUGAGCCAGAUCAGGGAUGCGGCUUAUGAAGCUCAGAACGUCAUUGAAGCUGCAGAUCACAUGGAGAAGAGAAACAGGCUCAAGAAGGGAUUCAUGGGUGCUAUUUCAAGGUAUGCUAGAUUGCCGAAUGACUUGGUAACCCUUCGUAAAAUCGGUGUUGAAAUUCAACGUGUAAAAAGGAAGAUCAAGGAGAUUUUUGCAUCUGCACAAAAUCUGAAUAUUAGUCUGGAUAACAAUGUUUUUGUAAAGGACGAUUUUUCACAAGAUGAUGGUCCUAUACAUCAAAACUCUGAAGAUGAUGUUUUCAUGGUUGGUUUUGAGGAUGAGCACAAAGGAAUAGUGGACAAGUUAGUUGACAAUGAUUACCUGCUUAGUGUUGUGUCUAUAGUUGCCAUGGGCGGGGCAGGAAAGACAACACUUGCUAGAAAAGUCUACACUUCAUCUAGAGUCAAAGAGCACUUUGACACACUUGCUUGGGUGACUGUAUCUCAAAAGUUCAAGGGCAUUGAUUUGCUAAAGGAUAUCAUGAAACAAAUAACAGGGCACAAAGAUGAGUCAGUUAACCAAAUGACGGAGUAUGAGGUGGGAAAGAAGAUCAAUGAAUUUCUUUCAGAAAAGAAAUACUUUGUUGUUCUUGAUGAUGUUUGGGAAACAGAUACAUGGGAGCAAUUAAACGGAAUGAUUACAGUCUUUCCAGAUGCAACUAAUGGUAGCAGAGUACUGUUAACGACACGAAAAGAAGAUGUUGCAAAGCAUAUUCAGAUGCCAACCUAUGUUCAUCCUUUGAAGAAAUUAAAUGAAGAGAAAAGUUGGCAACUUUUUAGUAGCAAAGCUUUACCAACAUACAAAAGGUCUGCCAUACGUGAUGUGGACGAGUUUGAAAAGCUUGGGAGAAAGCUUGCAAAGAAAUGUGAUGGAUUACCACUUGCACUUGCAGUUUUGGGAGGUUAUCUGUCUAAAAAUCUAAAUGCACAAAUAUGGUCCGAUAUACUCUCUGAUUGGCCAGCAACCAAAGAUGGACAAAUGAUGAGUGUCAUACUGGCACGCAGUUACAAGGACCUACCAAAUCAUCAUUUGAGAUCUUGUUUACUUUAUUUUGCUGCUUUUCCUGAGGAUUAUCAAAUAGAUGUGCCGGAUCUUAUUAACUUGUGGAUAGCAGAAAGUUUCAUUCCACAUACACCAAACCAUACACUAGAAGAAACAGCACGGAGCUAUGUAACCGAGUUGGCUCAGAGAAGCUUGGUCCAAGUUGUUCGCAGAAGUACGGCACAUGGAUGGAUAGAGAGAAUAAGGAUUCACGAUAUCUUGCAUGACUGGUGCAUACAAGAAGCAAGACAAGAUGGUUUUCUUGAUACAAGCAACAAAACUGCAGGCCAAGCAGGUGCAUCAUCAUCAUCAUCUGAUAACUUGAUAUCUUAUCGUUUUAGUUUUCAAACUUUGAGUUAUCAGAUUUUACCUGCGACGCCUAAUGUCCGAAGUCUGCUUGGCUUUAAACUCUUAUCAGUGUCCCUUCCUAAGCUGAGAUUCCUGAGAGUUCUUUGCAUUGAAAAAUCAACACUAAAACAUUUCUCCAGCGUAAUUGGUGGGUGCAUUCACCUAAGAUUGCUUAGGUUGGCAGAUUGUGGAUGUGUGGUGUUACCUUCUUCAAUUGGCAAACUCAUUUACUUGCAGACUAUAGAUCUCAGAAACACAAUUUUGUUGUCAGUAGUACCAAACUCUCUCUGGGAUAUCCCUACUCUAAGGCAUGUUUACCUUUCAUUUUACCCUACCCAAAGGUAUGUUGACCCUUCACAUAGGACAAAAUUUUGUCCACCACCACCUGCAAGGAGUGUGCGACUGCAGCCGAAAGAGCUACAGAGCUUUCUGUUGGAUCUUGCUCCUGUUGGCGCUGAUUUCCGCUGGCAUGACAUGAUGAUUUUCUUGGGCCAGAUGAAUCAACUAACAACCUUCUCGUUGGCUUACCACAAUAUACCAGCGGAGUUGCUCAACAUAUUUGCAAACAUGCCUCACCUGGUUGAUAUUAGUCUCCGCAAAUUUGAUGUGCUCGAUAAGCUGCCUGCUGAGUUCCCACAAAGCGUACGUCAUCUUGUUCUACAUGCUGAUGUCAUAAAACAAGACCCAAUGCCGAUCCUGGAGAAACUCCCCUGUCUUGUGGUGUUGGAGUUGAGUGGGUACAAAGGCCAGACCAUGUGCUGCUCCUUCCAAGGGUUCCCUCGGCUGCAAGAGUUAGAACUACAUGAUUUUUCCACCGAGGAGUGGAGGAUAAAGGUCGGGGCAAUGCCAAAGCUCUCCCACCUGUCACUUUGGUGGUGCAAGAAGAUGAGCAAGCUCCCCGUGGGGUUGCUGCACCUUCCAUCCCUCGGUCACCUGAAGCUGAGCAAUAUGGACCAGAUUUCUGAAGAUGACAUCACACUAAAGGAGCUGCGGCGGAAAGGGUGCGAGGUGGAGGUUAGAGAACUCCGGUGCCCUCCGGUCCGUUUCUGA
rnacentral:rRNA from 1 species